rnacentral:ncRNA from 2 species
UACCAUGGCCCUACGAGCGGUUCGGGUGGUUCCAAGCCAUCCGCCAAGAGGGAAACGGGUGAAAGUCCCGUACGGUCCCGCCACUGUAAUGAGGUAAGAACGGCUGCCGAAAGGCAACCACUGGAGUUUGCUCCGGGAAGGUGUCGUUACGUAUUCCUCCAAGUCAGGAGACCUGCCGCCCGUGAACCUGUCGA